AGCGUCUGUACUCCUAAGGUGGUUGGGGGCUACAAGCAAAGGAUAAUUUCAGAUGCUCAGCUCUCCCCCUUUCCCAACGCUUCUCUUUGGCUCCGCUAGGGCUGGUUUCUGUAAGAAAGAGCUGAAGCUGUGGCAGCAGCUAGAAGCGGCUGAGGCAGCGUGGAACCUGAAAAGUCCCUUUGCUCGCAGUUAGCUCCCGACGUGGUCCCAGCCGGCCGUCAGCACCAUGGAUAGCAGCUUCGGUCCUUUGAACACCAGCAAUUGCACUGAUCCCUUCAAACACUCUUCAAGUUGCUCCCCAGCACCUAGUCCUGGUUCCUGGGUCAACUUCUCCCACUUAGAUGGCAACCAGUCCGACCCAUGCGAUCCGAACAGCACCGAGCUGGGCGGGAGCGACAGCCGGUGCCCUCCGACAGGCAGUCCUUCCAUGAUCACGGCUGUCACCAUUAUGGCCCUCUACUCCAUCGUCUGCGUGGUGGGUCUCUUUGGAAACUUCCUGGUCAUGUUUGUGAUUUUCAGAUACACCAAGAUGAAGACUGCCACCAAUAUCUAUAUUUUCAAUCUUGCUCUGGCAGAUGCCCUAGCGACCAGUACCCUGCCCUUUCAGAGUGUCAAUUACCUGAUGGGAACAUGGCCCUUUGGAACCAUCCUCUGCAAGAUUGUGAUCUCCAUUGAUUACUACAAUAUGUUCACCAGCAUAUUCACCCUCUGCACCAUGAGUGUCGACCGCUACAUCGCAGUCUGCCAUCCCGUCAAGGCUCUGGACUUCCGCACGCCCCGCAAUGCCAAACUUGUCAAUAUCUGCAACUGGAUCCUCUCGUCAGCCAUUGGUCUGCCUGUAAUGUUCAUGGCAACAACAAAGUACAGGCAUGGUUCCAUAGAUUGCACACUAACAUUCUCCCAUCCCACUUGGUACUGGGAAAAUCUGCUGAAGAUCUGUGUUUUCAUCUUUGCCUUCAUCAUGCCUGUCCUCAUCAUCACCGUGUGCUACGGACUGAUGAUUUUACGUCUCAAGAGCGUCCGGAUGCUCUCUGGCUCCAAAGAAAAGGACAGGAACCUGAGGCGGAUCACCCGGAUGGUGCUGGUAGUGGUGGCAGUGUUCAUUGUCUGCUGGACACCCAUUCACAUCUAUGUCAUCAUCAAAGCCUUGAUCACCAUCCCAGAAACUACUUUCCAGACUGUCUCCUGGCACUUCUGCAUUGCUCUGGGCUACACAAACAGCUGCCUGAACCCAGUGCUUUAUGCAUUUCUGGAUGAAAACUUCAAACGAUGCUUCAGAGAGUUCUGUAUCCCAACUUCGUCCACCAUUGAGCAACAAAACUCCACUCGAAUUCGCCAGAACACGAGAGACCACCCCUCCACGGCCAAUACGGUGGACAGGACAAACCAUCAGAUGUGUAUGUCCUGCCUGUGUAUUUAUAUUUUCUCCAAGAAAUAUAUUCUACUAUUUGUGUCACACCUCAAGCACAUUAGUCAACUUCAUAUUCUACAGAUCAGAGAUCCAAUAUCAAACCUUCCCAGGGUGUCUGUAUUCUGACAGCCGUACACUGAGACCAUGUCCACACAGCGAAAAGUGAAGUGGAGAGUUGGCAGUUUUCAAGCUAGAAAAUCUGGAAGCAGAAACCGCUCCAUUGCCCUAAAUGGGUCUCAUGUUCUUCAGACCCUUACUGACCUAGAAGCCACCUGGAUAUGGAAGCAGGUCACUGCGAGAGUGUGUAAGAGGCUCUAGUGUCUUAGGAAAAUGCCUGCUUGUGAGUCAUCAAAACCCUUUCUUCUCUGGUACUGCACUCCACACAGGAGAGGACGGCCAAAACAUGUCACUUUCUGGGAAGGAGAAGAGGGUGCCAAACUAAGGCACUCAACUUGUGUAUACAGACACAAGGAAGUCACCCAGUGGGGCCAAGCACCAUGGUAGGUGAAUUGAGGUCAUCAUGGUGAUGACUCUCCUGUGUAUAAUAUUUUGUUUUCACGCAAAUAUGUCUGACUUGGUCAAAGAAAAACCAUCAGUUGUUAAGUUCACCAUAGUGACUAUAAAGUAAAUGCUACCUCUGCUCUAAGUACCUUGUAUGGAAAGCCCAAGACUUUUUAGUCUUCUGUAAAGGAGUCCUUUGUUCUAUUUUUUACCUUUAAUGUUAAAAUUAUCUUCUACUAAGACAUGAUGUCCUCCUUCAUUUCUUGGGUUCAUAUGCCAUUUUUUAUUUUAAAGAAUAAUGUCUCUUACCUAGCUCCACGAGGGUAAGGGGUAAGAUUAAUAUGAAAGGUAUUCUGAAACACGUACAUGUCCGAUGCAGAAACGCUGACCCUCUGUUUUACAAGGACUUCCUAAGAUUCAUUGUAAGAGAUUAGAGCUGUCGUUCUGUGACUUGUAGUGACUUGUUUCACAGUUUUAACUGUGCAAUCCCCUCGUUCCCAUGGAAGUGUUCACAAAGUGUGAUCAUGGGUCAAUGAGCUUAUCACUUCUCUCUCCAUGCAGGAAGUCAAGUGCUAAAAUGUGCUCUUCGUUUCUCAGCAGUUUCUCCCCUCUGCAUGCUCCCUUUCUAUAUUAUUAUUAUCUUUUUUUAAACUCUUCUCAGAACACUUUUGUCUUUUAAAUCAGCAUGAUAAAAUGACAGAUGUUUUGCUGGUUGUCAGAACAGUUUAAUCUUUUGAAGAAAUAUGGAUCCAAUAAAUUUCAUCUCAAAACAGAAAGAAAUAACGAUAGAGAAAACUGGAUGAUCCACUUACUUUUCAAUUUUGUAUCAUAGGUAGGCAAAAAAUAUUAACAAUGACCCAAAAGGGAUCAUCGUGAAGAUUGUGCUUAUCUCAUGUCAUCUAGAGACAACUCUCUUUGAUCUUUGCUAAGUGUCAAGAUUUCCUCUGUAAAAUGUCAGUCAUCUAAGUAGUUUUCUUAAGAGAGUUCUCAUCUUAGACUGGCUUUCUUUGGUAUAAAAUACAACAGAGAUUUAGCAAGCACCCAUUUUAUUUGAUCUGUGUAGAUGGUCCAGUCAGACGGUCUACCCACAAAGCUGUCAACUUUAAAUACUUUCUUUUUUAUUUAAUUGGGGUAACUUUGGAUUGAAACACUGUAUAUGUUUUAGGAAUAAAGCUUCACACUUCCUCAAAUGUAUCUCCUGCCCCACCAUAGUGUGAUGCCCCUUGGCCAUAGUCCACAGGACCCCCACUACUCUAGGUGCGGGCUCCCCACCCUCUACUCCCCAUCUCACACAUCCAAAUAUUGCAAAUAAAACAACUGCCUUGGGAUGAAUAACUGGACUUUCUUUCUCAGAUGCUGUGGGACAAGAUUUAUGUAUUGUAUGCAUAUAAGAGCUGGAGUGUAGGCCAAUGGUGUGCGGGGGUUGAGAGGAUUCACCAGAG